CGCUCCUCACCGGCUCGCUGCGCUCCAAGUUAAGGCACAUCGCGCUCCUCACGGGCCUUCCGGGCUCCUCAUCGGACCUCCUCACUACCCAGCAGACCAUGUUCAAUCAGAUAUCGGCAUGAUCCACCGCCGCCGCCCACUUUUCGCGCGGAGGCAUCAGCCCGGAUGCCGCCAUUGCCCCACUCGCCGAUAUCGCUACUCUCGCCCCUACAGCCAUUGCGUCCCGGAGCUAAGCUUGCCUGCAUGAGCAAGGUUACUGCAUAUUCAGACUCAUCCCCUGUACAUCCCUCAAGCUGAACUGGAGAUAUGGCAAGAUCCUUUUAUGUAUGGCAAUUGGCUAAACAUCUGGAGCAGUUUUGCAUUAGCAAUUCUGGUAGAGCCUUCUUGCUUCUUGAAUGAAAAUAAUCUGAGGUGAAAAGAAGAGGUGCACACCCCAAGUAUAGAGCUCUUGAUGGUUCCCUGUAUUAUUCUCUCGUCAUCUGUCUGACAGCAUACAAGAUAUGCAACUCUUGCAGGAUGAGAACUCAAGAACGUUUGGGCUAAUCUAAUUUUACUGUAAUACUAUGAGAAUUCUUAUUUUAUUUAUAGUAGAGAUAUAUGCCUUUGACAACUUGUUGUAGCUUAAUAGACUAAGGCGUUUUGGAAGUUGUGGAGACAAUAAUGUAAGCAAAUAGUUAAUGAGCAGAAUAUUUUGUAAUUACUAGACGAGAUACAGUUGCGCAAAACUGUGCAGUAGAAAAGUUCUUGUUUGUUGCACUUAAAAGGGUUAUGUCCUUAUUUGUUUGGAGGAAGUGGCGACCCAGGUUGGAUGAAGUAUU